rnacentral:lncRNA from 1 species
GGGUCUGGGGUCUGGGCGUGUUGUGGGCCGAAAAUCGAUCGGAGCGUGCCAUAGAGGUUGGGGAUCGUCCCAGUGUGGUCCAUUUAAAUUUUCGUGUCCAUUUGGGUGGACAAAACGGAUGAAGCGACGCGAACGGUACAAUUUCGGGCCAAAUCAGUGUGCUAUAGACCACAAUUUCGGGGGUGGGCCCGCGGUCCGGGCGUGCUG